rnacentral:rRNA from 1 species
CCUACGGGGGGCAGCAGUAAGGAAUAUUGGUCAAUGGACGAAAGUCUGAACCAGCCAUGCCGCGUGCAGGAUGACGGCCCUAUGGGUUGUAAACUGCUUUUGUAUAGGAAGAAACCCCACUACGUGUAGUGGGCUGACGGUACUAUACGAAUAAGCACCGGCUAACUCCGUGCCAGCAGCCGCGGUAAUACGGAGGGUGCAAGCGUUAUCCGGAUUUAUUGGGUUUAAAGGGUGCGCAGGCGGAAUGAUAAGUCAGUGGCGAAAUCCUACAGCUCAACUGUAGAACUGCCAUUGAUACUGCCAUUCUAGAGUACAGUUGAAGUAGGCGGAAUGUAUCAUGUAGCGGUGAAAUGCAUAGAUAUGAUACAGAACUCCUAUAGCGAAGGCAGCUUACUAAACUGUAACUGACGCUCAGCACGAAAGCGUGGGGAGCAAACAGGAUUAGAUACCCUGGUAGUCCACGCCGUAAACGAUGAUCACUCGUUGUUGGCAACACAUCGUCAGCGACUGAACGAAAGUAUUAAGUGAUCCACCUGGGGAGUACGAUCGCAAGGUUGAAACUCAAAGGAAUUGACGGGGGCCCGCACAAGCGGAGGAGCAUGUGGUUUAAUUCGAUGAUACGCGAGGAACCUUACCUGGGCUUAAAUGCUAAACGACAUCCCGUGAAAACGGGACUUCCUUCGGGACGUUUUGCAAGGUGCUGCAUGGUUGUCGUCAGCUCGUGCCGUGAGGUGUCGGGUUAAGUCCCAUAACGAGCGCAACCCCUAUUCUUAGUUGCCAUCAGAUAAUGCUGGGGACUCUAAGGAAACUGCCUACGCAAGUAGUGAGGAAGGUGGGGAUGACGUCAAAUCAGCACGGCCCUUAUGUCCAGGGCUACACACGUGCUACAAUGGUCGGUACAGAGGGUCGCUACCUGGUGACAGGAUGCUAAUCUCAAAAACCGGUCUCAGUUCGGAUCGAAGUCUGCAACUCGACUUCGUGAAGUUGGAUUCGCUAGUAAUCGCAUAUCAGCAAUGGUGCGGUGAAUACGUUCCCGGGCCUUGUACACACCGCCCGUC